CGUAGGUGGCAAGCGUUGUCCGGAUUUAUUGGGCGUAAAGCGCGCGCAGGCGGUUCGUUCAGUCCGUUGUGAAAGCUCCUGGCUCAACUGGGAGAGGUCUUCGGAUACUGACGGACUCGAGGGAGGCAGAGGAAGGUGGAAUUCCCGGUGUAGUGGUGAAAUGCGUAGAGAUCGGGAGGAACACCAGUGGCGAAGGCGGCCUUCGUGGGCCUUUCCUGACGCUGAGGCGACGAAAGCGGUGGGGAGCCGAACCGGAUUAGACGUACCCGGGUAGUCCACGACCGUAAACGAUGCUCACUAGAUGUGGGGGGUAUCGACCCCCUCCGCGUCGAAGCUAACGCAUUAAGUGAGCCGCCUGGGGAGUAUGGCCGCAAGGCUA
rnacentral:rRNA from 1 species